CCUACGGGGGGCAUCAGUGGGGAAUAUUGGGCAAUGGGCGCAAGCCUGACCCAGCAACGCCGCGUGAAGGAAGAAGGCUUUCGGGUUGUAAACUUCUUUUUUCAGGGAAGAGUAGAAGACGGUACCUGACGAAUAAGCCACGGCUAACUACGUGCCAGCAGCCGCGGUAAUACGUAGGUGGCAAGCGUUGUCCGGAUUUACUGGGUGUAAAGGGCGUGUAGCCGGGUUGACAAGUCAGAUGUGAAAUCCUGCGGCUUAACCUGAGAACUGCAUUUGAAACUGUUUAUCUUGGGUACUGGAGAGGCAGACGGAAUUCGUAGUGUAGCGGUGAAAUGCGUAGAUAUUACGAAGAACACCAGUGGCGAAGGCGGUCUGCUGGACAGCAACUGACGGUGAGGCGCGAAAGCGUGGGGAGCAAACAGGAUUAGAUACCCCAGUAGUC
rnacentral:rRNA from 1 species